ensembl:snRNA RNU6-294P RNA, U6 small nuclear 294, pseudogene
GUGUUCAGCAUCACAUACACUAAAAUUGAAAUGAUACAGAAAAGAUUAGCAUGGCCCCUAAGCAAGGAUGACAUGCAAAUUUGUGAAGCAUUAUAUUUAUAU